UUUGAACAAAGAAGCAACUUGUUUCACCUUCUGUAGCAAGAGAGGGCUGCUGAGUGCUGCUGGGAAGACCCACUACAAUAACGCAACACCAGGAAGGAGCAGUGCUGGUGAGAGGACCAAUGCAAGAGGCCCAGGGAGACGGGUUGCAGUGGAGAUGUUUGCAGGAACCGACUAGAAGUUGGAGUGUGUAUAUUUUACAGGAGAGAAAUGUUAUAUUCUUGGGUGACAGUACAAGGCCUUGAGUGCUGCCUGAAGAAAUACUGGCCUGGUGCAAGUAACUAAGUGUUAUAUUCUUCGUAAGAAUAUAUUUUGGGGCAUGUUAUAGAAAAGACCUCACUGGGCAGAAUUUCUGUACAACCAAGAGAGACUGGUAAACCAACUGUUACCAGAGAAGUGGAACACAAAUAUUGCGGACAGACAGACAGCAUUCUCAUCCACAGAACGGAGGUAGAAUGAGACUACAUCUCUAGACAGCUUACUGUCCAUUGGGGAAAAAACAGGUCUCAUAAAACCACUAAGCUGCCCAGGCU